UACGUAGGGAGCAAGCGUUGUCCGGAAUCAUUGGGCGUAAAGAGCGCGUAGGUGGCUUUAUAAGUCCGUUGUGAAAGUCAAAGGCUCAACCUUUGAAAGCCGAUGGAUACUGUAAAGCUAGAGUACGGAAGAGGCGAGUGGAAUUCCUGGUGUAGCGGUGGAAUGCGCAGAUAUCAGGAGGAACACCAAUAGCGAAGGCAGCUCGCUGGGACGUUACUGACACUGAGGCGCGAAAGCGUGGGGAGCGAACAGG
rnacentral:rRNA from 1 species